rnacentral:rRNA from 1 species
CACGUAGGGCGCGAGCGUUGUCCGGAAUUAUUGGGCGUAAAGCGCGCGUAGGCGGCUUUGCAAGUCAGGUGUGAAAUCCCUCAGCUCAACUGAGGACGUGCGCUUGAAACUGCAGAGCUUGAGUACUAAAGAGGAUGGCGGAAUUCCCGAAGUAGAGGUGAAAUUCGUAGAUAUCGGGAGGAACACCGGUGGCGAAGGCGGCCAUCUGGGUAGUCACUGACGCUGAGGCGCGAAAGCGUGGGUAUCAAACAGG